ensembl:lincRNA
AUGAGUUGUGCCCUGUGUGAAGAGCCUGUGAGGAAUAAGUUGGUGCCACUCACUGCAGAGGACCGACCUCCCAAAGCCUGGAAAAGGAACAGAACCCGUCUCUUCAUCCCAGUCCGGGGACAGUGGCGACAGAACAGCCUCACAUCUCAGCAAGGUCACAGGCCUCUUCUCUGCUCAGAAUUCAUUGUUGCCCGCUGGACUCCAGGAAGCGCGCCAAACUUUACACUCAGCACAGAAACUUCCGGAAUCCGCAUGGAGGACCACCCGCAUUAUCCCAGAGCUAGGUCCUUCCUGUGUCCAACUGGAUAUUCCAACGCCAGCUGCCACAAGUUCUUACGCCUCGCACGUUAUUUUUAUGUUACAGCCUCGACAUUCCUCGGGUGGGUGAGUCCAGGCUCCAGCAGCUGAAUAACUUCUGUCUUUGAAGUCCUCCUGCUCUGCCCGCGGGAGUGAUUCCCCGCUGUGCCUGGUCCUAGUGCCUAACCCACGAAGAGGAUCAGAGUCAGGGUUGAAUCUCUUCCUGAGGGUCUGAAAACAGCUGGAACAAAGAAAAACCUUAAUCCCACUUGUCUCCUCUCUGAGAUUUUGUAGUCUUGAAUCUCUUCUCUAUAAAUCUGAUUUAUUUAUUUUUCUCCUCCUACCCGCUAACUUUUUCUGUAUUUCAGUUUACACAGUCAUCUAACUCACCUCGAUUUUGGCCACUACAGAAGCUGAAAUAGCACUUAGCAGCCCAGAUUUGUAGUUUUGGGAGAGGCACCCACUCAAGGUCUGUCCAGUCAAUUAUGGCCAGUAGUUCACACAUCUCCUAAACCUGCUGAAGUCCCUCUUCUUGAAGUUAAAAGAGGGCGAGCCCUGGUCACCGUCCUGUGGAAAAUGCAGCCCCGGACUACACAGUGCAAUUACUGCAAGGACCAGAGCGCAAACCUGAGGUGGAGGAGACACAGAAAAAAGGGUCCAACGUAAAUAAAGAUGUGAAGCAAUGAGACAUGGCGACAGCCCGCGUUUCUGCUACUUCACCCCCAAUGUGUGUUGUUAGGCUGCUAAAUUUGUAGUCAUCACAGUGGCAGUGGGGAACCGACAUAGUGCGUGAGGCUUAGACUACCAUGCAGGGGUUGGAUGUGCGGACACUUGACUCCCACCCUCUAAUCUGACGUCUCACUAUUGUUCUGCAUGGACUCCUUGCUUCUGUGGAAGGCCGUUUGCUCUUUGCUCAAAGCCCACGAGAAAGACGAUCUGCUAUCACAUCCUCCUCUUUAAUCCUUUGCCCACAAGCUUCUACAAGCUUAGAACAACCUCUGUGCCUCAGCUCUCUUUUCCUGAAGGCUGUUGUGCUAUUUGGUUGUGCACAGCUUUUAAAAUUUACAGUUUAUACAAUACAGUCUGUAAUUGAAAGAGAUUGGAGAGAGAGAGAGAGAGAGAAUAUAACAGGAUAAAAGAGAGAAGUUAAAUCUGAAGUCUAAAAAUCAUCCAGGAAACCAGUUGAAUCUGUUUUACAAAUUUCCAUACAUGUGAUUAUAAAUGUAUUAGGUAGCAACAAACUCAAUGACAUUAGUUUCCAUUCUCACUUAUCCUCAUUUUAAUUUUAUAUUUUUUGUUUCCUUUUCCUUUAAUUAUUUUCUCUUUCCUACCUUCCCUCCCUCGAGAUGACCCUUGGAACUAUGAUAUUAAAUCCUACAGGCUGACAUGGCAACUCACUCAUGGAAAAUUUUGACUAACAAAACUACCAGGUCACCAGAUUUCUCCUUUCAUAGGUAUUUCCUUAGUAUACAUUUGAAUAAAUGUAUGAUAAAUUGACAAGAUUAAAAUAGUUUAUUUGACAGCAAUUAUAACUGGGAUCUGAAGAUACUCAGCUGAGGAUUUUCAAAUUUUGCUUGCCUGGCAUCUUCUCUAGGCACCUUGCUGAAAGUCCCUGAGGUAAAUCACCUGCCUGCAAAGCGGAGCAAAGGGAAAGGCAGCCAUACCCUGGGUUUCUGUUAACCUGUGUUGUUACCCCACUGUUACUCCAGUCUAGACAAGUUUACACUAAGAAAUUGUUUGUGUUUUCUGAUGAAAGGUGUUGUGUGUAAUUCUAGGACAUAGUUAAUACUUAAAAAUCUUCUAAACGGUGCUCUUACAUUUCUGAAUAUAGUCAAAUAUCAAACUCGUAUGUUCCAGAGCUUAAAACAAGUUAUUUUUCAUUAGGUGCCUGUCAUUGUAAAUGUCCAGUUUUUGUCCUUCAAAAGUUCAUAAUAACCCAAGAGGAAACUCGUAAAUGUCCGAGGCACAACUUGAUAAAUGCUGUCUAAGGUGUUCCCUCUGUAGAGAGCAACUUCAUUGAUGGAUUUUUUGACACCAACUGGGAGAAGCAAAGCAAGUAGGGUGAAAGUAUUUUUAAAAAAUUUGAACCAAGCCCAUCAGAUUGGCAAUAGGAGUGAAAAAUGACUGUGGUGCAGUCUGAUAGGAAACAUUUCUUAAACUUGUCACAUACGACAUUCCGCUUCUGCUGCAGGCUAUUGGAAGUAAUUUUGUGCACAGGGACAUGGUCACCUAAGGCAAUUCUGUUGUUCAGAACCAACCGCAGGACACACGUGCAGCUCAAGGUGGGAAUCUGGGUUAUCUUGUGACUGUAACCUGUAGCCAGCUACUUCGUCAGAGGGAGAAUUACAGCCCUGUGGAUUAACCUACUUUCACUUUUUAAUGAAUCUCUCCCCCCACCCCACCAGAGCUCAAAGGUAUUUGUCACUGAGAAAAUUUCGGACAUUCUUUAAAAAGCGCAUUUCUUUCAAAAAUAUGGUCGUCCUUCCUGCAUUGAUUCCACAAACAGGGUUCUCAAAUGUAAGUAUUCUGUUUUAUCAACCUAUUAACUCAAUCAUCUAGGGGAGCGCCUAGAAAGAACUAAAGGACUUCAAAUGCUUGCAUGCAGAAGGGAGUCCUUGAGUCACUUAGACCCUGACAUAAAGAUGUCUUGCAAUACUUCUGAACCUAAGUGUUUCUUUGGAUAUUGGCUUUCAGGACGGUGAAACUGAAGCCUCAAUGCAGGCCAGAGUAUUGAGAGAAAAGCACUUCCUGGUAUCUCUUACCAUGGAGGUUUUACAUUUUUUGGAGAGAAAACGAGUAAUUAUAACCCUGAGACUUCUUUUCCAGUGCAGCUUAGUUGGAAAGAGUUAUGGAAGUACAUUCAGAACCUAGCUGACUACGUCUGGUAAGUUCAGGGUUGUAUUCAGGGAGAACUUGAUUAGGGUGACACAUUUUCCCAAGUGUUCCAUCCAUGUUUGUACUAGUUACAAAGUCUGCUUGCGCAUCCCCAGAAAAAUCUCACGUUUACAGGAGGAGGAAUGGGGGCUCAGCUGUUUUUCAUCACAUCUAUUGUUUCUAAUUUUCUCAGAAUAUUUAUCAGAAACAAUUAGGUGCAUACUGCUGUACAGUUCAGUGCUGAGAUAACAGAAACCAUCAAUGAGAUGGUCAAAAGGUCAAAAGUUACUUGAAUUUCAGCAUAUUAUUAAAUGUGUGUUUUUUUCAAGGACUAAAUGAUGGCUAUGAUAAUUAAUAAAAAUGGACAGAUCUGCUUAGACACUGUGGUGGUGAUAUUUAAACUUUUUAAAUAGGUCAAUUUUUUGCAUCAAGGUGGCUGUCAGGAUUUCUCAAGUACCAAGCUUACCUGUGCUACCAAUUGUAAUAAUCAGUCAGGCUUGGGUUUGAGCUGUAGCAUGUGAUACCCAGUAGAAAAAUGACAUGGAUAAUUAAACUAUCAACAGAGGAAAAGCUAGCUAAGUUUGGGACAUUACAUUUAUGGCCAUAAUGGCGCCUUAUUUUUUCUCAUCUACAUGAUGUAAUAAAAGCCCAGAAAAUAUGGGAAAAGGGUCAAUGAGUUGAGAGACUUUAUGGUGAAUUUUUUCACAAGACAUCUGGGGCUCUUUUUUUCUUUUGUCCAGCUAUUCUGAAUAUGAGGUAUUUUAUUUCAGAGGGUGUUGGAAGUGGAAAGUUUCCAAGUCUGUUGUGAGCAGCACUAGAAACCUGGAAGGAAAUUACCUGGUUCCGGAGUAUGCAAGUCCCAGGCAGACCUGAGCGAGAACAAACAUCUGGGAACUAGCAGUCUGCCUAGCAGUAGUCUGUGACUAUGAACAGCCCCUCAGAAAAGCUCGUACUGUAAAAGUAAGCUGCAUAUGCAUGUGGACAGUAUUUUCUGUUAAUACACCAUUAAUUUUUUUGUUGAGAAAUAUUGUGAUGUGUGAUUAAGAACAGACUGGCUGCCUAGAUGUGGAAUCUUCACCACUGAUAAACAUUUUGUAAAUUUCCCUGUGUGCCUCAGUUUUUUUUUUAAUCAGAAAAAAUGGGAUAAUAGCCAUACUAUGCAUAGCACUGUGAAGGAUUAAAUGGGUUUUCAUGUGAAAUAUUUAGAACGGUGCCUGGCUCGCAGGGCAGCACUAAACAAGUUCUUUUAUGAUAGGCUUAGUUGCAGGGCUGUAUUUCAAGGAAGGAAAGGUUCUUGCUUUCAAACAACAGCUUCCAGGGUGGUUAAGAGAGGAGAGAAAUGUCAGCUCCCAGACCACAUUCUGAGCAUAGCCCAGGGACUACUCAGGGCCUCAUGGUGGACACUUGUCUGCUCUCAAGCGUUGAAGGACCUUUGCUAUGUGGGCUGUUCUUCCUUCUUGGCUUUACAUUUACUUAUACAGAAGUAUAUUAUCUUGAUAAAUCUUCAACCCAUGCACAGC